GCUAAGCCCUAAACAUUGAAAAGCCAUAAAUACCGUGCUUUCCGCCAGAGAAUUACGAGCAACAAGCUUAAAACUCAAAGGACUUGACGGUGUCCCACAUCGACCUAGAGGAGCCUGUCCUAUAAUCGAUACCCCCCGUUCCACCCAACCCCUACUAGCAAUAAACCAGCCUAUAUACCGCCGUCGACAAGUCUACCCCAUGAGGGUCUAACAGUAGAUACAAUAGUUAACAACUAAUACGUCAGGUCAAGGUGUAGCAAAUGUAAGGGAAGAGAUUGGCUACAUUUUUUAUUUUAAAAAACACGAAAUGCAUCAUGAAACACUGCAUGAAGGCGAAUUUAGCAGUAAAAUAAAUAAGAGUGUUUAUUUUAACACCGCUCUGGGACGCGUACACACCGCCCGUCACCCUCCUCAAGCCACACACUAACAUAUAUAUAAAAACACACUUAGCAUAAGAGGAGGU
rnacentral:rRNA from 1 species